rnacentral:rRNA from 1 species
UGGGGAAUCUUGCGCAAUGGGCGAAAGCCUGACGCAGCGACGCCGCGUGGGUGAUGAAGGCCUUCGGGUCGUAAAGCCCUGUCGGGAGGGAAGAAAUCUCGCCGGUCUAAUAUGCCGGCGACUUGACGGUACCUCUUAAGGAAGCACCGGCUAACUCCGUGCACGCAGCCGCGGUAAUACGGAGGGUGCAAGCGUUGUUCGGAAUCACUGGGCGUAAAGCGCGUGUAGGCGGCCAUUUAAGUCUGGUGUGAAAGCCCUGGGCUCAACCCAGGAAGUGCACUGGAUACUGGAUGGCUGGAGUACCGGAGAGGAGGGUGGAAUUCCUGGUGUAGCGGUGAAAUGCGUAGAUAUCAGGAGGAACACCGGUGGCGAAGGCGUCCCUCUGGCCGGAUACUGACGCUGAGACGCGAAAGCGUGGGGAGCAAAC